AUUAGAUGAGCCUAUAUUAGAUUAGCUAGUUGGUGGGGUAAUAGCCUACCAAGGUAAUGAUCUAUAGCUGAUCUGAGAGGAUGAUCAGCCACACUGGAACUGAGAUACGGUCCAGACUCCUACGGGAGGCAGCAGUGGGGAAUAUUGGACAAUGGGCGAAAGCCUGAUCCAGCCAUGCCGCACGAGUGAAGAAGGCCUUUGGGUUGUAAAGCUCUUUUAGUGAGGAAGAUAAUGACGGUACUCACAGAAGAAGUCCUGGCUAACUCCGUGCCAGCAGCCGCGGUAAUACGGAGAGGGCUGGCGUUAUUCGGAAUUAUUGGGCGUAAAGGGCGCGUAGGCUGGUUAAUAAGUUAAAAGUGAAAUCCCGAGGCUUAACCUUGGAAUUGCUUUUAAAACUAUUAAUCUAGAGAUUGAAAGAGGAUAGAGGAAUUCCUGAUGUAGAGGUAAAAUUCGUAAAUAUUAGGAGGAACACCAGUGGCGAAGGCGUCUAUCUGGUUCAAAUCUGACGCUGAAGCGCGAAGGCGUGGGGAGCAAACAGGAUUAGAUACCCUGGUAGUCCACGCUGUGAACGAUGAAUGUUAAAUAUGGGGAGUUUACUUUCUGUAUU
rnacentral:rRNA from 1 species